GGAACUGGGACUAAAGCUAAAGAUUUAUCAUCACAACCAUUAUCACCAGAAGACUCUUCAACAGACAGCUUACAUGAGUCAUCUAGAGAUUUAGCAACUUUUCCACAAAUUGAGCAACUCCGUUUCAUGAUACUCCCCAAACUAUUCGGACGGGCCAUAACUAAGGCCCGCUCUAAAAUCUGGUUGUUACCCUCAUCAUACUUUAAGGCCUCAUCAGUACCGCUUUCAUUUAGGACUUUGGAAUUCUUACUUAAUGAAAUUGACCUUUGAAUCACAUUAAGAAGACCAUUUCGGCGAUCAUCUUCAGUUCCUACAACAAUUACAUGAUAAUUAAUUGUACUGCACAAGCAAAAAUUCGAUAUUUAGAAGCUCAAAAUAAGGUAAAAGAAUAAACCAAGCGAAUCACCACUUUUAGCUAGAGUGCCUUCUCUCUGAAACACAACUUUCCC
rnacentral:misc_RNA from 1 species